UACGGUGGGGGCAAGCGUUGUUCGGAAUUACUGGGCGUAAAGGGCUCGUAGGUGGCCAACUAAGUCAUACGUGAAAUCCCUCGGCUUAACCGGGGAACUGCGUCUGAUACUGGAUGGCUUGAGUUUGGGAGAGGGAUGCGGAAUUCCAGGUGUAGCGGUGAAAUGCGUAGAUAUCUGGAGGAACACCGGUGGCGAAGGCGGCAUCCUGGACCAACACUGACACUGAGGAGCGAAAGCCAGGGGAGCAAACGGG
rnacentral:rRNA from 1 species